rfam:Gammaproteobacteria bacterium RIFCSPHIGHO2_12_FTLL_41_15 rifcsphigho2_12_scaffold_27386, whole genome shotgun sequence.
AAAGAGCUAUCGGAAAAGCGCGACCGAGCGCAUUUCGUACUGAGCCUUGGGCCUGAUGUGGUAACGCGUCGGACUAAGCGUAGGCACAGGACAUUACAGGCCGUAAACCGAAAGGCUGAAGCGAUUGAGCUCCGUUAAUAAUCUUAUGAAGGGUGGCUGAUGGCCUCGAAAAGUCAGAAAGCAACAAUAGAUACAGCGUUAAUCGGCAGGUGUAUUUAUCAUCCUCGGAGUCAGAGAGCA